rnacentral:rRNA from 1 species
CAGUAGCCGCGGUAAUACGUAGGGUGCGAGCGUUAAUCGGAAUUACUGGGCGUAAAGCGUGCGCAGGCGGUUGUGUAAGACAGGUGUGAAAUCCCCGGGCUUAACCUGGGAACUGCGCUUGUGACUGCACAGCUAGAGUAUGGCAGAGGGGGGUGGAAUUCCACGUGUAGCAGUGAAAUGCGUAGAGAUGUGGAGGAACACCGAUGGCGAAGGCAGCCCCCUGGGCCAAUACUGACGCUCAUGCACGAAAGCGUGGGGAGCAAACAGGAUUAGAUACCCGAGUAGUCCCUGUCUCUUAUAC